GGACCCGCACAAGUAGUGGAGCAUGUGGUUUAAUUCGAAGAUACGCGCAGAACCUUACCAACACUUGACAUGUUCGUCGCGACUUUAAGAGAUUAAAGUUUUCGGUUCGGCCGGACGAAACACAGGUGCUGCAUGGCUGUCGUCAGCUCGUGUCGUGAGAUGUUGGGUUAAGUCCCGCAACGAGCGCAACCCUCACUUUUAGUUGCCAUCAUUAAGUUGGGCACUCUGAAAGAACUGCCAGUGAUAAGCUGGAGGAAGGUGGGGAUGACGUCAAGUCCUCAUGGCCCUUACGUGUUGGGCUACACACGUGCUACAAUGGUAUUUACAAUGGGGAAGCAAAGAGGCGACUCC
rnacentral:rRNA from 1 species